rnacentral:lncRNA from 1 species
UGGCCCAGGCUUGGCCCCCUUGGCGCAGCAUCAGGCGCCCCAGAUACCUGACACGUCUCAUUUGAUCUCAGAUUCAGCCUGCCCUUUCUGUGGCCCCCCAUGGUGGGCGGAGAGGGGGCUCCCCGGGGCCUCCCUGCCCCUGUUCGGACCCCUAGGCCAACCCCGUCCGUCCAGCCCUGGCCAAGACAUCUGACCCCAGUGGUCUGGCCCCGGCCUGCUCCAGGACCAAAGCUUUGAGUUGCCCCUACAGCCACAGGUGGUCGAGCGGCAGGCCCCCAGCCCCGGGCGGCUGCCUCCAGCCCGGCCCCUGGCUCAGAGUGGGGAGAACACGGCUGAAGAAGAAGGGCUGGGUGUCACUUUUCCUCCUCCAUUUGUCUUGGAGGCUGACACGGGAGAAAACCCCAAAGGACCGAGUGCGCCCUCACAGUUUCACCACAAGUAUCCUGACCGGGCGUCUGGUGCCGAGCUGAUAGUGCAGGCUCCGGGCCGCAGCCCCGCCGGAAACCGCGCUGCCAGCGGUUGGGGGCCGCAGGCCCAGACAGGAAACGCCCCCAGGCGUACUGCCGGGCCCAUGGCCUCGUCACAGGCCUGCUGCCUUGGACCAGGCCCGGCGCCAUUUUGAAGCUGGGCUGGGCUCUCGCCCUCUGCCCUGAGAUCUGGAGACUGGUCUGUUACCUGACUGGUCAGGCUUGGGAGGCGACAGGGAGGGAAGAGGGAACCUCCAGACUGGGCUACACCUGAACCACAGCCUCUUCCUACCAUGGCCAAUCCCUCCAUGGUGCCUCCAACCCAGCCCUUUAAAUUCUCAGCUUCCAUCAGGCUGCUGGCUCCGUGUUUACUGUGACAGGCUGAGAACUGAACGCAGGGAACUCAGAAGUGAACAAAAUAGUGGUAGUAUUGGGCAUCGCGAAAAGCCCACAGAAUAGGGGCCAUCGUCAAGAGGAGUAAUCACAGGGUCUGAAGGAUUUGCAUGUGGGGAUGAUAGGAAGGAGGACCCGGGUUCCAGCCCCCAUUUUUGACUUCCGUUUAGGAGAUGGAAUCCAGAAAGAUUCGUUUUGGGGUUUUUUUUCUGCCUUUUCUCCCCAAAUCCCCCCAGUACAUAAUUGUAUAUUUUAGUUGUGGGUCCUUAGUUGUGGCCUGGGGGCUGACGCCUCAGCAUGGCCUGGUGAGCGGUGCUGGGUCGGCACCCAGGAUCCGAACUGGCGAAACCCCAGGCCCCUGAAGCAGAGCGUGCGAACUUAACCACUCGACCACAGGGUGGCCAGGAAAGAUUCGUUUUGCUGUGAGAAAGACAGGAGCCCAUUUAAAUGCUGAUGGGAAGAAAAGAGGUCACAGGGAGGGAAAGAUCGCAGGUCCAGGAGAGAAGGGGCCAGUAGAGAGAGGGAGUCCCGAAGAACAAGAUUGGAUGGGAUGGUGGGCUGAAGGGGGAGAUCUCAAGGGAGAGCUCUGAGCCAGUGGUGCCUUCCACCGGCACUGGGAAGGAAACCGCAGAAGCCAGUUCAAGCUUCACCUCCUGGGCAGGCUUCCCUAUCCCCUGGGAGGCCCCUGCCUUACACCGUUUGGCACUGUGCUCUCUGAAGUGCAGUGGACUGCUUGCCUCCCUGGACUGGAGCUCACCCUCAGCAGAGUUAAAGAGGCAGCACGUCAACGCCUGUGAUUAACAAUAUCUUUACUGUGUGUCAGGCACUGUGCCUAAAAGUCACCAGGGAUACGUGUUGGCCUGGCCUUUCAAGGGGAGAGGCUGAGCCUGGUCUUUACAAGGCGGGACUCCCCUUGGCUCCUUGUUGCCUUGUCGGUCCUCUGCAUGGUGCUACCACAGGAACCAGCUCAUCACACAGCUCUUCCGCAACCUGCUUCUGUGUCCUGGCUUUUGAGGACUUCUCUUCUGGAGAGCACUGUUGUUUUCUCAGUCUCAGCCCCAGCUCCUGUCCCCCUUAGGGCCUGGCACAAAAGCCCCCAGGCCUGGUGCCUCUCUUCACCAGGUUGGAAGCCCAGACCAAGGCCUGGGUUUUGUGCUCAGCUCAAGGCCUGGAGUGGAAAAGGUGGGUCUGUGCAAACAGUGAGGGAGUGUUGGAUGAAUGCUAGACGAACGCGUAGCCUCUCACUCACUGGCACCCAGAGCUCCUCCAGGGAGCCCAAAUUUUCCUGCAUGGUGAGGCUAGGUCACAGGGGUGGGGUGCUCGGAGCCAGGCGGGAGCCUGGCAGGAGAUCAGACAGGCUCUGCAGUGGCUGGACCCAGGUGAGGGCCUCCAGCAGCAUGGGGGCUGGUGGGGCAUCGUCAGGGAUGGGGACUGAGAAGGAGAUCCCUUUGAACUUGACAGGGCUAGAGUGCAGUGAUUUAGGGGCUGAGGCUGGGCUGGGGUAUCUAUGCACAUCCAGGGCACAGGGUGGGAAAAGGCAGCUCCUGGAAGGUAUCAUGUUGGGCUGUGACCUGUGUGUGUGUGUGUGUGUGUGUGUGUGUGUGUUGGGAGGCAGCCUGGGGCAGUUGGAAGAGGGUGGCAUCAGAACUGCCCGGAAUUGAAUCCUGAUUCUCCAGGUCACUUAAGUUCUUUCCACCUGUUUCCUGACUCAAACAAUGGGCCAAAUAAUACCUGUGUUAUGAGGAUGAAGAAUGUGCGAGUAAACAUCCUGGCACAAAGAAUGUCUGUGCUUGAUACAUAGCAGUUGUGAUUUAUGUGUGUGUGUGUCGGGGGAGGACUUGAGGGCCAUUUUCAGGCCUGUGAAUUGCUAGUCCUGGCAGAGCUGGUCUUGAAGACCCAUCCCGGUGUGGCCGUCCUGUGAUUCCAGGGGCACUGCCCACCUGUUCCUCAGGGUAGCCUG